rnacentral:rRNA from 1 species
AACGAACGCUGGCGGCAGGCUUAACACAUGCAAGUCGAACGCCCGUAGCAAUACGGGAGUGGCGGACGGGUGAGUAACGCGUGGGAACGUACCCUGAGGUACGGAAUAACCGAGGGAAACUUCGGCUAAUACCGUAUGAGCCCCGCAAGGGGGAAAGAUUUAUCGCCUUGGGAGCGGCCCGCGUCGGAUUAGCUAGUUGGUGGGGUAACGGCCUACCAAGGCUUCGAUCCGUAGCUGGUCUGAGAGGACGAUCAGCCACACUGGGACUGAGACACGGCCCAGACUCCUACGGGAGGCAGCAGUGGGGAAUCUUGCGCAAUGGGGGCAACCCUGACGCAGCCAUGCCGCGUGAACGAUGAAGGCCUUAGGGUUGUAAACUCCUUUUGUGGGGGAAAAGAAUGGAUGGUACCCCAAGAAUAAGUCACGGCUAACUACGUGCCAGCAGCCGCGGUAAGGCGUAUGUGU